rnacentral:tRNA from 1 species
GCCAUGAUGGCUCAGAUGGCAGAGCGGCGCACUCGUAAUGCGCAGGUCUCGGGUUCGAUUCCCGAUCAUGGCU